rnacentral:rRNA from 1 species
UGGGGAAUAUUGCACAAUGGGCGCAAGCCUGAUGCAGCCAUGCCGCGUGUGUGAAGAAGGCCUUCGGGUUGUAAAGCACUUUCAGCGAGGAGGAAGGUGGUGAGCUUAAUACGCUCAUCAAUUGACGUUACUCGCAGAAGAAGCACCGGCUAACUCCGUGCCAGCAGCCGCGGUAAUACGGAGGGUGCAAGCGUUAAUCGGAAUUACUGGGCGUAAAGCGCACGCAGGCGGUUUGUUAAGUCAGAUGUGAAAAUCCCCGGGCUCAACCUGGGAACUGCAUUUGAAACUGGCAAGCUAGAGUCUCGUAGAGGGGGGUAGAAUUCCAGGUGUAGCGGUGAAAUGCGUAGAGAUCUGGAGGAAUACCGGUGGCGAAGGCGGCCCCCUGGACGAAGACUGACGCUCAGGUGCGAAAGCGUGGGGCAGCAAACAGGAUUAGAUACCCUGGUAGUCCACGCUGUAAAACGAUGUCGAUUUUGGAGGUUGUGCCCCUUGAGGCGUGGCUUCCGGAGCUAACGCGUUAAAUCGACCGCCUGGGG